rnacentral:rRNA from 1 species
UGCUAUACAUGCAGUCGAGCGAACAGAUAAGGAGCUUGCUCCUUUGACGUUAGCGGCGGACGGGUGAGUAACACGUGGAUAACCUACCUAUAAGACUGGGAUAACUUCGGGAAACCGGAGCUAAUACCGGAUAACAUAUUGAACCGCAUGGUUCAAUAGUGAAAGGCGGCUUUGCUGUCACUUAUAGAUGGAUCCGCGCCGUAUUAGCUAGUUGGUAAGGUAACGGCUUACCAAGGCAACGAUACGUAGCCGACCUGAGAGGGUGAUCGGCCACACUGGAACUGAGACACGGUCCAGACUCCUACGGGAGGCAGCAGUAGGGAAUCUUCCGCAAUGGGCGAAAGCCUGACGGAGCAACGCCGCGUGAGUGAUGAAGGUCUUCGGAUCGUAAAACUCUGUUAUCAGGGAAGAACAAAUGUGUAAGUAACUGUGCACAUCUUGACGGUACCUGAUCAGAAAGCCACGGCUAACUACGUGCCAGCAGCCGCGGUAAUACGUAGGUGGCAAGCGUUAUCCGGAAUUAUUGGGCGUAAAGCGCGCGUAGGCGGUUUUUUAAGUCUGAUGUGAAAGCCCACGGCUCAACCGUGGAGGGUCAUUGGAAACUGGAAAACUUGAGUGCAGAAGAGGAAAGUGGAAUUCCAUGUGUAGCGGUGAAAUGCGCAGAGAUAUGGAGGAACACCAGUGGCGAAGGCGACUUUCUGGUCUGUAACUGACGCUGAUGUGCGAAAGCGUGGGGAUCAAACAGGAUUAGAUACCCUGGUAGUCCACGCCGUAAACGAUGAGUGCUAAGUGUUAGGGGGUUUCCGCCCCUUAGUGCUGCAGCUAACGCAUUWAGCACUCCGCCUGGGGAGUACGACCGCAAGGUUGAAACUCAAGGAAUUGACGGGGACCCGCAC